UAAAGGGCUCGUAUGUGGUUGAUCGCGUCGGAAGUGUAAUCUUGGGGCUUAACCCUGAGCGUGCUUUCGAUACGGGUUGACUUGAGGAAGGUAGGGGAGAAUGGAAUUCCUGGUGGAGCGGUGGAAUGCGCAGAUAUCAGGAGGAACACCAGUGGCGAAGGCGGUUCUCUGGGCCUUUCCUGACGCUGAGGAGCGAAAGCGUGGGGAGCGAACAGGCUUAGAUACCCUGGUAGUCCACGCUGUAAACGGUGGGUACUAGGUGUGGGGUCCAUUCCACGGGUUCCGCGCCGUAGCUAACGCUUUAAGUACCCCGCCUGGGGAGUACGGCCGCAAGGCUAAAACUCAAAGGAAUUGACGGGGCCCCGCACAAGCGGCGGAGCAUGCGGAUUAAUUCGAUGCAACGCGUAGAACCCUACCUGGGUUUGACAUGGAUCGGGAGUGCUCAGAGAUGGGUGUGCCUCUUUUGGGGUCGGUUCACAGGUGGUGCAUGGCUGUCGUCAGCUCGUGUCGUGAGAUGUUGGGUUAAGUCCCGCAACGAGCGCAACCCUUGUUCACUGUUGCCAGCACGUUAUGGUGGGGACUCAGUGGAGACCGCCGGGGUCAACUCGGAGGAAGGUGGGGAUGACGUCAAGUCAUCAUGCCCCUUAUGUCCAGGGCUUCACGCAUGCUACAAUGGCUGGUACAGAGAGUGGCGAGCCUGUGAGGGUGAGCGAAUCUCGGAAAGCCGGUCUCAGUUCGGAUUGGGGUCUGCAACUCGACCUCAUGAAGUCGGAGU
rnacentral:rRNA from 1 species